rnacentral:tRNA from 1 species
UGGCUCAGAUGGUAAAGCAUCUGCCUACAAUGCAGGAGGCCUGGGUUCAAUCCCUG